rnacentral:pre_miRNA from 1 species
AAUAUACUCCCUCCGUUUGAAAAUACUUGUCAUCAAAAUGGAUAAAAGGGGAUGUAUCUAGACGUAUUUUAGUUCUAGAUACAUCUCUUUUUAUCUAUUUUGAUGACAAGUAUUUUCGGACGGAGGGAGUAUUCU